rnacentral:rRNA from 1 species
AUGAGCGAAAGUCCUGGAGGUUCACAACAUCCUCGGAUCUCUCUUUACGCUGAUGAUGCUGCCAUCUUCAUUGCCCCUUCGGUGCAGGAUAUAUCCUGCCUGGCAAAUAUUCUUCAAGGCUUCGGGGAGGUUACGGGCAUGGUGACCAAUGUGGCUAAGAGCUCUAUUGCCCCAAUUCGCUGCUCCGAUGUUGACCUCACCGCAGUUCUGGCAAACUUCUCGGCGACUAUCACCCAGUUCCCUCUCAAGUAUUUGGGGUUGCCCUUGUCGCUUGGUAGACUCAGAAGGACCGACCUUCAGCCAUACAUUGAUAAAGCUGCGUCAAGGUUGAACCCUCUGAAAGGAAGAUUCCUAAAUCGGGCGGGGUGCUGCACUUAUGUGAAAUCUGUCCUUUCUUCCAUGCCGAUCUUCCUCCUCACCGCUAUCAAAGUGGAUAAAGGCUUCCUAAGGGCUAUGGCCAAGAUCUGUCGCGGUAUGCUAUGGGACUGCAAGGAAUCUGUCAGCGGUGGGAAAUGCAAGGUCAACUGGCAGAAGGUCUGCCGCCCUAAGGAGCUUGGUGGGUUGGGGAUCCUAGAUUUGGAAAGGUUCUCCCGCGCCCUUAGACUUCGCUGGCUUUGGGACGAAUGGAAGGCUCCUGAAAAACCUUGGGUAGGUUUUGAAACUCCUAACGAUGCCUCAGAUAGACAGCUCUUCAACGCCGCGACUCGUGUUACUAUCGGGGAUGGCAAGAAGGCCUCCUUUUGGUCUUCCUCAUGGCUUGACGGCAAGCCACCGAAAGAUAUGGCACCUCUGAUCUUCAAAGCUUCGAGGAGGAAAAACCGAACGGUCCAUGAUGCCCUUACUGAACAUACCUGGGUAGCGGAUAUUGCGGUGGAGGCCUUCACGGCAGAGCACAUUGGCCAGUUCGUCCAGCUAUGGGAUCUCAUCUCAGAUAUCCAGCUCUCCCCAGAUAUAGAAGAUUCCAUCAUCUGGACCCUCUCCCCAAAUGGAUGCUACUCUGCGAGCUCCGCCUAUAAGGCGCAGUUCAUGACCGCGCUGCCUUGCUCCUUCGGCUCGAUUGUCUGGAAAACGUGGGCGCCUCCCAAAUGCCGCUUCUUCGCUUGGCUCGCCGUCCAAAAUCGCCUCUGGACCGCGGAUCGCCUGGCCAAACGUGGAUGGCCACACCAGCCCUCCUGCCAGCUAUGCCGGUGCUCCCCUGAGACGGCGAGACACAUGCUCUUUGAAUGCCGUUACUCCAAGAGGAUCUGGUCCGCGGCGGCAUCCUGGCUCUCCUGCCCGGAAUUACUGCUUAACAUGGGCUCUGGUCGCCCCAAGGUGGUGGACUACUGGCAGGCCUUAGCUAGGUCGCCCUCUUCCUCUCCCAAAGGUCUAAAAACGGCUAUCAUGCUCAUCACCUGGGAAAUCUGGAAGGAAAGAAAUGAGAGAGUCUUCAACAAGAAAUCCUCUCUGCCGGUGGUGGUCAUGCACAAGAUAAGAGAGGUAGCAAAAGAUUGGAUUCUAGCGGGAGCAAAAAACCUGGCGGAUCUUGUGGGCUGA